rnacentral:rRNA from 1 species
UCGGGAAUUUUGGACAAUGGGCGAAAGCCUGAUCCAGCCAUGCCGCGUGUGUGAAGAAGGUCUUCGGAUUGUAAAGCACUUUAAGUUGGGAGGAAGGGCAGUAAGUUAAUACCUUGCUGUUUUGACGUUACCGACAGAAUAAGCACCGGCUAACUCUGUGCCAGCAGCCGCGGUAAUACAGAGGGUGCAAGCGUUAAUCGGAAUUACUGGGCGUAAAGCGCGCGUAGGUGGUUUGUUAAGUUGGAUGUGAAAGCCCCGGGCUCAACCUGGGAACUGCAUCCAAAACUGGCAAGCUAGAGUACGGUAGAGGGUGGUGGAAUUUCCUGUGUAGCGGUGAAAUGCGUAGAUAUAGGAAGGAACACCAGUGGCGAAGGCGACCACCUGGACUGAUACUGACACUGAGGUGCGAAAGCGUGGGGAGCAAACAGGAUUAGAUACCCACGUAGUCCCUGAGCGGGCUGGCAAGGCGCAU